AACCGAUAUGUCAUUGUUGACUUUCCUACACUUAUCUUAGGUCAAACCUCUCUUAUCAUGAUCAAAGACAAUUUAUACUUUUCUUCCACACUCAUCGAAAACCAAACCUGAUGCAUACAUUUUAUCACAAUGCCCAGUGAUCUUACACCUUAAGCACUGAAUCUAAUUGUCAUGUCCCAAGUGAUCAUAAUCUUAAGCUAUGAUAUAUUUCUGUCACGAUCCCUAAUGAUCUUAAACAUAUGCUCAGAUUCCAACUGGUCACAUUUUUCAGUAAUCUUAAACCUCAAACUUUAAUGCCACUAAGGCCACAGUCCCUAGUGGUCUUAAACCUUAGAUUAUAAUAUCAUUCUUGUUACAAUCUCAAAUGAUUAUAAACCAAAUCUCUGAUAGUUUUUCUAUCAUAAUUCUCCACUGAUACUCACCUGAACAUAAACCCUAGGAUACCUUAACCUUAAGCUCUGAUACCACUCUGUCACGCCCCGAACCCAUCACCCGGAUCCGGCACGCGACCGGCCGCAUGAGCCCUAGAGCAAUGCCCUAAAGAUCAUGCAAGGCCUAAGAUAAACAACAAUUCCAAUAAAUCCCUCUGUCACGCCCCGAACCCAUCACCCGGGUCCGGUACGCGACCGGCCGCAUGAGCCCUAGAGCAGUGCCCUAAAGAUCAUGCAAGGCCUAAGAUAAACAAAAAUUCCAAUAAAUCCAUAAUUAAUGUAUUUAAAACAAACCAACUAAAAUGUACUGAUUUAUUACAUAAUUUCAAAUGUCCAUAAAUAAAAGAUAGAUUAACUUCUAUCUAUCCAGCAAUCAGACUCCAUGCUGAUCUGAUUUCUCGUCCCACCCAAUGGUCUCUACAAAUCCAGUGCCUCUAAAAAAAGAAAGUAAGUGUAGUAUGAGCUUUUCCAGCCUAGUAAGA
rnacentral:lncRNA from 1 species